CCAAAGGCUCUUUUAAGAGCCACCCACUCUCUCAAAAAAAGAGCU
rfam:Ophiophagus hannah scaffold482.1, whole genome shotgun sequence.